GACCGUAAACGAUAUUAAACUCGAAGUUUGUAUGUAACAGUUUUUCAAAAAUUGAUACAGAAUCCAAGGGAAACCGUUAAGUCUUUGGGUUCUGGGGGGAGUAUAGUCGCAAGGCCGAAACUUAAAGGAAUUGACGGAAAGACACCACCAGGAGUGGAGUUUGCGGCUUAAUUCGACUCAACGCGGGAAAACUCACCAGGAUAGGACAGAAUGAGGAUUGACAGGUUGAAUAUGGUCCUUUCUUGAUUUUUUGGAAGGUGGUGCAUGGCCGUUCUUAGUUCGUGGAGUGAUCUGUCUACUUAAUUGUGUUAACGAACGAGACCUUAACCUGUUAACUAGGCACUAGUUGAAUUUUAUUCAUGGGUUUCUAACGAAAUUUAGGUCAUUCGGGUUUUACCCGAGCUUCUUAAAGGGACAAUACUGUGUAUUUUAUAUUUUAGCGUAGGGAAGUUUAAGGCAAUAACAGGUCUGUGAUGCCCUGAGAUAUCCUGGGCGGCACGCGUACUACAAUGUCAUUGACAACAGGCUUUCCGCUUCGGCGGGCCUCUACCAAAAUGUAGGGGAAAACGUGUCAAACACUUAUAUGACUGGGAUAGCUGUUUGUAAUUACAUCUUAAACGAGGAAUUCCUAGUAAGCGCAAGUCAUCAUCUUGCAUUGAUUACGUCCCUGUCUUUUGUACACACCGCCCGUCGCUCCU
rnacentral:rRNA from 1 species